rnacentral:rRNA from 1 species
CAAGAGCGUAUAUUAAAGUUGUUGCAGUUAAAAGCUCGUAGUUGGAUUUCUGCUGAGGACGACCGGUCCGCCCUCCGGGUGAGCAUCUGGUUCGGCCUUGGCAUCUUCUUGGUGAACGUAUCUGCACUUGACUGUGUGGUGCGGUACCCAGGACUUUACUUUGAGGAAAUUAGAAGUGUUUCAGCAGGCAUACGCCUUGAAUACAUUAGCAUGGAAUAAUAAGAUAGGACCUCGGUUCUAUUUUGUUGGUUUCUAGAGCUGAGGUAAUGAUUAAUAGGGAUAGUUGGGGCGAUUCGUAUUUAACUGUCAGAGGUGAAAAUUCUUGGGAUUUGUUAAAGACGGACUACUGCGAAAAGCAUUUGCCAAGGAUGUUUUCAUUGAUCAAGAACGAAAGUUAGGGGAUCGAAGACGAUCAGAUACC